UCCACCUACGAACCAUAUACAAAGCAUCAACGCCAUGGACGGGAUGGCACCGAACAAGGCAUGAUGGAAAAGCUGUCCUCCGGUGAUGCAUAACAGCUUCGGUGGUGGCUAGCAAUGGUGAUCCCUCGGUGAUGGUUUUGAGAUGAUGACUUGACUCUUCUGAUUUCAACACACGUACAUGAAUGAUAAUGGAGAAGGAGAGAAGAGAUGAACAAUGGUGUAUAUGGAGGAAAUCAGGAGUGCAAGCGAGAGAGAGAACGACAGAAACAAUUUGAAGAGGCCGCGAGGGUUUUGAGAUAGAAGAAGAUAUAAACACUUUUGUGUAUUUAUAUAAGACUUAUUCUUGGGUUCACCCCUAGGAUGAAUCUCUAGGUUCACCAACCAAUAAAAUUAUGUUAUUUCAAAUUUGAUAUAUUUUAUAAAAGAAAACAAAAUAUUGUCAAGUUAUAUAUAAAAAGAUAAAAAAUAAAAAUAAAAAUAGUAGUAAUUACAAAGAAAAUAUGUUUAACGUCGUGAAAAAAAAACUAAGCCCUAAAUCCCAAUCCCUAAACCCUAAAUCCGAAACCCUAAACCCUU
rnacentral:lncRNA from 1 species